CUAAUAUGAAAUGGAUUGAAGCUAAAAUGAAAGAGCUGGGAGUGAGCACUAAUGCAAACUACAAGAUAACGUUCAUGUUGGAUAGUGCUGCCAUGAUAACUGUGCACACUCCAAGGCGAGGCUUAAUUGAUGUGAAACCUCUAGGAGUUAUAUGGGGCAAAUUCUCAGAGUUUUACAGCAAGAAAAAUACUAUUAUGUUUGAUGACAUUGG